UACGAACUGUGCGAACGUUAUUCGGAAUCACUGGGCUUACAGGGUGCGUAGGCGGCUUGUUGAGUAGGGUGUGAAAGCCCCCGGCUCAACCGGGGAAUUGCGCCCUAAACUGGCGAGCUGGAGUGAGAUAGGGGUGUGUGGAACUUCCGGUGGAGCGGUGAAAUGUGUUGAUAUCGGAAGGAACGCCGGUGGCGAAAGCGACACACUGGAUCUUGUCUGACGCUGAGGCACGAAAGCCAGGGGAGCGAACGGG
rnacentral:rRNA from 1 species